rnacentral:rRNA from 1 species
CACGUAGGGGACGAGCGUUGUCCGGAUUCAUUGGGCGUAAAGCGCGCGUAGGCGGCUCGGAAAGUCGGUCGUGAAAUGCCGGGGCUCAACCCCGGGACUGCGUCCGAUACUCCCGAGCUGGAGGCAGGUAGGGGAGAUCGGAAUUCCUGGUGUAGCGGUGAAAUGCGUAGAUAUCGGGAGGAACACCUGUGGCGAAAGCGGCGCACUGGACCACAACUGACGCUGAGGCGCGAAAGCUAGGGGAGCAAACAGG